GGGGCCAUAGCUCAGCUGGGAGAGCGCUUGCAUGGCAUGCAAGAGGUCGGCGUUUCGAUCCCGCCAGGCUCCACCA
rnacentral:tRNA from 1 species